rnacentral:rRNA from 1 species
GCUGGCGGCAGGCCUAACACAUGCAAGUCGAACGCCCCUUCGGGGGAGUGGCAAACGGGCGAGUAACACGUACUUAACCUGCCCCAAAGAUGGGAACAACUAUGGAGACAUAGCUAAUUCCCAAUGAUAUCUAUUAGCUGAGAUGCUUUUAGAUUAAAGAUUUAUCGCUUUGGGAGGGGGGUGCGACCUAUCAGGUAGUUGGUGGGGUAAUAGCCUACCAAGCCUAUGACGGGUAGCCGGUCUGAGAUGAUGUCC